rnacentral:rRNA from 1 species
GUAAUGUCUGGGAAACGUAGCCUGAUGAGGGGGGAUAACUACUGGAAACGGUAGCUAAUACCGCAUAACGUCGCAAGACCAAAGAGGGGGACCUUCGGGCCUCUUGCCAUCGGAUGUGCCCAGAUGGGAUUAGCUAGUAGGUGGGGUAACGGCUCACCUAGGCGACGAUCCCUAGCUGGUCUGAGAGGAUGACCAGCCACACUGGAACUGAGACACGGUCCAGACUCCUACGGGAGGCAGCAUG